GAUAAAGGGCUUGUGACAGCCAAGCAUAUAUAGUGAUGCUGUGUUUUGAUCCUUGGAUGUCGGCUCUUCUGAAGCAGAUUUCACCAAGUGUUGGAUUAUUCGCCGACAUAGACAAUAUGGAACUUAAGCGGGGUUUAGAUUGUCAUAAGACAAGUU
rfam:Beta vulgaris subsp. vulgaris Bvchr2.sca001.con0064.1, whole genome shotgun sequence.